rnacentral:rRNA from 1 species
GAUGAACGCUGGCGGCGCGCCUAACACAUGCAAGUCGAACGGCACCCACCUCCGGGUGGAAGCGAGUGGCGAACGGCUGAGUAACACGUGGAGAACCUGCCCCCUCCCCCGGGAUAGCCGCCCGAAAGGACGGGUAAUACCGGAUACCCCGAGGUGCCGCAUGGCACCCCGGCUAAAGCCCCGACGGGAGGGGAUGGCUCCGCGGCCCAUCAGGUAGACGGCGGGGGGACGGCCCACCGUGCCGACAACGGGUAGCCGGGUUGAGAGACCGGCCGGCCAGAUUGGGACUGAGACACGGCCCAGACUCCUACGGGAGGCAGCAGUGGGGAAUCUUGCGCAAUGGGGGGAACCCUGACGCAGCGACGCCGCGUGCGGGACGGAGGCCUUCGGGUCGUAAACCGCUUUCAGCAGGGAAGAGUCAAGACUGUACCUGCAGAAGAAGCCCCGGCUAACUACGUGCCAGCAGCCGCAGUAA